ACUUCUUAAGGGCUCUAGAAAAGAGUUGCUCUUCUUGUCUGCUUCAUGAAGCUCUGAAGUAGAAGAAACGACUGGAAGUCUUUUGCAUACAGAACUACAUCAGGAUGGUAUCUUUGACAACCAAAGAUGAUGAUAUCCAGGAUCUGUGGUAUUUGCUAAAAUGAAUACACUCACCUGACAUAAGGAUCUGGGUUGCCAGCAACUCUGCACUCCAACAAUACUUUGGAUCCUUCGGCAACUUCCUGGCUGCGGAGCUUCUGAGUGAAUCGAGAAAAGCAUUGCUCUCCAUUGAGAUGAGCUCCAGGAGACAGGUAUCCGCUGUCAGGAGAAGAGGAGUCUCCAUCAGGACUUCGACCUCUUGCCUUUGCUGCUUCUCUAAAUAUAGAUGACAGUUCCUCAAUGAAUGUGGCAGCUUUGUCACACAGCUUGUGCCUAAAAGGCAGUUCUCCAUGGGCUGCUGAUUUGGAUUUUGGGCUUGUUUUGGGCACRCUUGGACCACAUCUCUGUGAAUUUUUCAGGCUUCGAAUAAAGCUGGGACUGGCAGUUAGCAAAGAUUGCUGGACACCAUAAAUUUCAAGAAGAAAACAGUAUGCUAUUUGACAUCAUUAUGAGAAUCAACAUAUUUAUAAGUGCCAAAUACGUUCAAAUAUAAAUUCCCAAAUUAUUCUUCCUGAUAACUGUUGGCAACGUAACUCUCAAUAUUUUACUUUCAGUAUUAGUAUUGUAAACUUUUUUUUUGCUAGAUACGAUUUAGUAACAUUCCUCCAAACACUGAUGAAUAGCGUACCAAACUACUAUGUGUUGUUCCAAGUGUACAAUAACAUUAAAGGAAUAGCCUUCAUGAUAUAUGUAUCAUUCUGUACCACAUGAAUGUGCAAUGCAUGUUUUUUCUCUUAAUAUUUUCAAGUACUGCUUCAGUGAUAGAUGGCUUGACACUCACGAGAUGUACUCGGAUGUAUUUUACAUGGGUUUGUGCUAGCUCCAAUUACCUUGAGUCACUUCACUAGGGCUUCCGCAGCAUGUAGCCAUUAACUGACUGUUAGAUUAUUUGAAUUCUUGGCCUAGUAGAUGCAUUUCUU